CGUGUAGGCGGUCAGGUAAGUGAGAUGUGAAAUGCCCCGGCUCACCCGGGGACCGGCAUCUCAUACUGCUUGGCUUGAGUACGGGAGAGGGUGUGGGAAUUCCUGGUGUAGCGGUGAAAUGCGUAGACAUCAGGAGGAACACCGGUGGCGAAGGCGCACACCUGGCCCGAUACUGACGCUGAGGCGCGAAAGCUAGGGAGCAAACG
rnacentral:rRNA from 1 species